AAAUUUAAACGCGAUCUGUAUUCGAAAAUCGUAUAAAUCGUGUCGGUCAACAUCGACGACAUGGCAAAUGACGAAUCAGGGAUAAUGUAAAACAUUUCAUAUGCAUAUACCGACAAUUGUGCCAUGUGCCUCGGCAAUCAUACAAUUGGCGAAUAUUCAAUUAUAUAAUCGAACUACCGGCGUGUAGUGCCAUGGCACUAGGCACGUACGUCGUAUGUCUGCAAAAUUUACAGUUUCUCGUUGCUUUAUUGUAAUCGUCGAACGAUAACAGGAGUUCAUGCACAUGUAAUCAUCUUCGCGAACGGAUAUGCUAUAUAUUUAAAAAAAUAAUAUUACUUAUGAUCUGUGUGUUUCGACGAUCGGCUUGAGUAUCGGCAAUCAUGGCUAUAUAGUUGCGGUCCACAAUUAUAAUUGAUGCUUAAAGAAUGAUUAACUAACCGCCUUUUUGCUCAAGUGAAUUGAACAUAUAUGUGAUAUCAUCAAAUUUAUUUUAUCUGAAUUUUUAUAUUUUUUUAUCGCAUGAUAUACACAUCUUAAUAUUGACGGAUCGUUUCAGGUUUAGCGACGGUGGCGCAAAGUGUCUACGGAUUAAUCUGCGCGUCUGAUAUCAGAUAGUGCGUCCAAAAUUUUCCGCUUAUGAAUCUCGAAUCGAUGCUUUAAUUGGCCAAUUAUGACAGUAUAUUUUCUUUAAGGAAAUUGUGCUUACCAGUGAGCCAACGGCAGAAUAUUUGGGAUUUUCCGGAAAUAGAUAAAUAUCGAAGAGGAUCCAAACACCUCUCCAGACGAAAACAACCAACGUGCCAACAACACCGACGCUAAAGGCACAAUCCAAAAAUAUAAAUUUCGAGCUUCCGGAUGGUGCUUUUGAUUAUACUCUCAGAUGAAAGGAGAAGCAAGAAAAGAGGUGAUACACUUCUCUUCUCCGGUAAUUAAAAAUUCGAUAUAAAAAAAAAUAUUUGUGUUAUAUAUUGUAAGAUAUGCAGAACAAUAUUGGGCAGGAAUCUCGAAUAAUUUCUACGACGUUGUACUAUAGACAUUCAGCAUUUUCAUUUUGGUAAAUGAGUUUUAUCUACUAAUGAAUUUUAAAUGAUUCUAUCUAUUAGUUUUAUAAACAGAUUGCUUUCUUAAGUGGAGAUAAACUUUUGUUUUCACUUAUUAAAGCACAUUAUACACACAUCUCUCAUUAGAAGCUAUAUGUCAAAACUAAGAGUCUUACUUUUUUCCAUAAAAAAUACAGCUUCUAUAAUCUGUAAUGCUAUUCUGAAAAUUUUUUCCUUUUUUCUUUCUUUUAUUUCCCUCUUUUAUUAACAUCGUGUUAUCUUGCAAUCUUGUUUCCUAAUUCAAUUUUCUAUACGUAAUAUCUAUUUAUAA